rnacentral:rRNA from 1 species
AACGAACGCUGGCGGCAUGCCUAAUACAUGCAAGUCGAACGAGAUCUUCGGAUCUAGUGGCGCACGGGUGCGUAACGCGUGGGAAUCUGCCCUUGGGUUCGGAAUAACUUCUGGAAACGGAAGCUAAUACCGGAUGAUGACGUAAGUCCAAAGAUUUAUCGCCCAAGGAUGAGCCCGCGUAGGAUUAGCUAGUUGGUGGGGUAAAGGCCCACCAAGGCGACGAUCCUUAGCUGGUCUGAGAGGAUGAUCAGCCACACUGGGACUGAGACACGGCCCAGACUCCUACGGGAGGCAGCAGUAGGGAAUAUUGGACAAUGGGCGAAAGCCUGAUCCAGCAAUGCCGCGUGAGUGAUGAAGGCCUUAGGGUUGUAAAGCUCUUUUACCCGGGAUAAUAAUGACAGUACCGGGAGAAUAAGCUCCGGCUAACUCCGUG